GACGGAGGGUGCAAGCGUUGUUCGGAAUUACUGGGCGUAAAGGGCGCGUAGGCGGUCUGUUAAGUUCGGUGUGAAAGCCCCCGGCUCACCUGGGGAACUGCGCCGGAAACCGACAGACUCGAGUACCGGAGAGGAGGGUGGAAUUCCUGGUGUAGCGGUGAAAUGCGUAGAUAUCAGGAGGAACACCGGUGGCGAAGGCGGCCCUCUGGGACGGUACUGACGCUGAGACGCGAAAGCGUGGGGAGCGAACAGG
rnacentral:rRNA from 1 species